GCCGACGUAGCUCAAUUGGCAGAGCGCCCGCCUUGUAAGCGGAUGGUUAUGGGUUCAAGUCCCUUCGUCGGCU
rnacentral:tRNA from 1 species